rnacentral:rRNA from 1 species
GAUGAACGCUGGCGGCGUGCCUAAUACAUGCAAGUCGAGCGAACAGACGAGGAGCUUGCUCCUCUGAUGUUAGCGGCGGACGGGUGAGUAACACGUGGAUAACCUACCUAUAAGACUGGGAUAACUUCGGGAAACCGGAGCUAAUACCGGAUAACAUGUUGAACCGCAUGGUUCAACAGUGAAAGACGGUCUUGCUGUCACUUAUAGAUGGAUCCGCGCCGCAUUAGCUAGUUGGUAAGGUAACGGCUUACCAAGGCAACGAUGCGUAGCCGACCUGAGAGGGGUGUCAGCCCACAGGGGAGUGGGACCAGGUCCCGUCCUCCAAGGGGUGGGCGAGGAGGGGAAUUUUCAGGAAGGGCGAAAAGCCUGAGAGAAAAGGCCGGGGGGAGAAAAGAUGGUCUAGGGUUCGAAAACCUUUUUUAUGGGGAAAAAAAAAAGUGAUAGGAAAAUAUGCUGUUCUUGACGAUCCUUAAUAGGAAGACCACGGCAACCUCGGUG